GGGGGCGUAGUGAUAAUGGGAGCACGUGGCCUUUGCACGGCCAAGGUAGGGGUUCGAUUCCCCUCGCCUCCA
rnacentral:tRNA from 1 species